rnacentral:rRNA from 1 species
GUAGGUGGCAAGCGUUGUCCGGAAUUAUUGGGCGUAAAGCGCGCGCAGGCGGUUCUUUAAGUCUGAUGUGAAAGCCCACGGCUCAACCGUGGAGGGUCAUUGGAAACUGGAGAACUUGAGUACAGAAGAGGAAAGCGGAAUUCCACGUGUAGCGGUGAAAUGCGUAGAGAUGUGGAGGAACACCAGUGGCGAAGGCGGCUUUCUGGUCUGUAACUGACGCUGAGGCGCGAAAGCGUGGGGAGCAAACAGGGAUUAGAUACCCUGGUAGUCCACGCCGUAAACGAUGAGUGCUAAGUGUUAGGGGGGUUUUCCGCCCCCCUUAGUGCUGCAGCUAACGCAUUAAGCACUCCGGCCUGGGAGUACGGCCGCAAGGCUG